AUUGAACGCUGGCGGCAGGCCUAACACAUGCAAGUCGAGCGGAUGAAGGGAGCUUGCUCCUGGAUUCAGCGGCGGACGGGUGAGUAAUGCCUAGGAAUCUGCCUGGUAGUGGGGGAUAACGUCCGGAAACGGGCGCUAAUACCGCAUACGUCCUGAGGGAGAAAGUGGGGGAUCUUCGGACCUCACGCUAUCAGAUGAGCCUAGGUCGGAUUAGCUAGUUGGUGGGGUAGAGGCCUACCAAGGCGACGAUCCGUAACUGGUCUGAGAGGAUGAUCAGUCACACUGGAACUGAGACACGGUCCAGACUCCUACGGGAGGCAGCAGUGGGGAAUAUUGGACAAUGGGCGAAAGCCUGAUCCAGCCAUGCCGCGUGUGUGAAGAAGGUCUUCGGAUUGUAAAGCACUUUAAGUUGGGAGGAAGGGCAGUAAGUUAAUACCUUGCUGUUUUGACGUUACCAACAGAAUAAGCACCGGCUAACUUCGU
rnacentral:rRNA from 1 species